rnacentral:misc_RNA from 1 species
GUACAUGUGCUACCCAAGAGUAUUUUGUAUUGGAAAAUUAAAUUGUCGCUUUUAAAAUUAAAAUGUUGCUUAAACUUUCGCUGAACUAACACGCUUUAUAUUAUAUAUAUAUAUAUAUAUAGAAGUGUCAUAUUAAAACUAUUCUACAGUGCAACAAAAGAAAUAAAUUAAGGUUUUUUUUUUAUACUAUAACUUUAUACAAUCGCAGAUGCUUAUAAACACAACAGUCAACAUAAAUGUAACUUACAUAAUAAUUAUACUUUAUCAAACUGGUAAAUGAUUUAAGUUUAAUUUGUGUAAUAAAAAUAUAAAUAAAUUAAAUCUACAUUUUGAAAAUAAUUAUAUAAGUUAGUUAGUUAUAAUAUAGCUACUUCAUAAGUAUUGCGCACUAUUUUACAAUUUGACUGAUAAUAUAAAUUGUUGAAUGUGAUUCUUUAUCUUGUACAGUUUGUAAAUAUUGUAUAUUGUAAGUAUUGUUGUAAUUUACUAGCUUGUGAUACAUAUUAUAUUCGGUUGCAAUUAAAAUACGUUGAUGUAAUUACAAAUCCAUCCAUAGUUUUUUUUUUUUUACAGAAACUACAAUUAUAUUGUUAGGUGCAAAACUGUCCAAAACAUAUAUGAACUGUAUAAAAAGUAGGAAGUAUAUUAAACUUUAUUUUUAGGCAACUUUGGGAAAACAUGAUAUUAUCCUUCUAACAUUUAUCCAAAAGUCGUGUUUUUUUUACUUAUACUAAAUGUUGCACAAUAUGCAACGCGUACAUACAAUUAAAUACCAUAUUGACUGAUGAUGAUAUGAAUUAUAACGGUUUAACAUAUCUUUAAUUUUAUUUAAGUAUUUAUUAACUAUGUCAGUUUCUUUGAUCAUCGAGUCUCUGAGAAUUCAAUGUGAAACUGAAAUGUGACGAUAUCUUGGAGACUUGGAGAUAGUUUUGCACCUAGUUGUGUAAUUUUUUGUUUCAUCUUCUUUGCCAUGGUUAUUCAUCUUUUUCAAAUUAAUAUAAUGGCUACCAUUACUUAAAAACCUAAGUCAUAAAGAGCCA